CAAAAAGCAAGCAUUAGAACAAGCCGAG
rnacentral:sRNA from 1 species